rnacentral:ncRNA from 1 species
UACUUGAAUCAAGCUUAUGACCAACUCGAUGAACAAAGUACGCCAGUGCUUCGAGGCGUAUGGUAUUUUCAGCUUUUCUUACUAAGGAUACUUUGUAAGUGAAUCUGUGUGUGUUCAGUGAUGGACAUCCAGAAGGCGGAAACCGCCAACAAAAACAUGCGUCGCAGAAUUGUUUGCAUCAAAAAGUACGGUCCUUCCGGGCGUAGCAAUAGACGCUCACUGUGUGAGAAUAACCCUAAGGGAUGCCGAUUUGGCGAUCGGUACGACAGAGGGAUGCCAAUAAUACGCCUUGCCUUGAGCCGGGAGAAAUCCUGUGUAUAACGGAAGUGGCCGGUAGUAGUAGCCGAAUGGCAUCCUUAACGGGACAGAAUGAUGAUCUGAAUGGACGGUGAAUUUGCAGGUAAUCAACCCUGUACAGGCAAGGGCGCAAGCUGGGGCUAGAAGUUUACGGCCGACGGGCCGUAGGCUCAGACUAGUCUUCCUGUUGACUGAAUAUUGAUGAAAAACAGCUAUGUACGGCGAAGGCCGGGUCAUAAGUUUGAUUGAAG